CGACCCCAGGUCAAGCGGGACUACUCGCUGUGUUUAAGCAUAUAAAUAAGCGGAGGAGAAGAAACUUACAAGGAUUCCCCUAGUAACAGCGAGCGAACCGGGAGCAGCCCAGCUUGAGAAUCGGGCGGGUGUGCCGUCCGAAUUGUAGUCUGGAGAGGCGUCCUCAGCGACGGACCGGGCCCAAGUCCCCUGGAAAGGGGCGCCUGGGAGGGUGAGAGCCCCGUCCGGCCCGGACCCUGUCGCCCCACGAGGCGCCGUCAAUGAGUCGGGUUGUUUGGGAAUGCAGCCCAAAUCGGGCGGUAGACUCCGUCCAAGGCUAAAUACAGGC
rnacentral:ncRNA from 1 species